AACGAACGCUGGCGGCAUGCCUAACACAUGCAAGUCGAACGAAGCCUUCGGGCUUAGUGGCGCACGGGUGCGUAACGCGUGGGAAUCUGCCCUUGGGUUCGGAAUAACAGUUAGAAAUGACUGCUAAUACCGGAUGAUGUCUUCGGACCAAAGAUUUAUCGCCAAAGGAUGAGCCCGCGUAGGAUUAGGUAGUUGGUGGGGUAAUGGCCCACCAAGCCGACGAUCCUUAGCUGGUCUGAGAGGAUGAUCAGCCACACUGGGACUGAGACACGGCCCAGACUCCUACGGGAGGCAGCAGUGGGGAAUAUUGGACAAUGGGCGAAAGCCUGAUCCAGCAAUGCCGCGUGAGUGAUGAAGGCCUUAGGGUUGUAAAGCUCUUUUACAAGGGAUGAUAAUGACCGUACCUGGAGAGUAAGCUCCGGCUAACUCCGUGCCAGCAGCCGCCGUAA
rnacentral:rRNA from 1 species